GACGAACGCUGGCGGCGUGCCUAAUACAUGCAAGUAGAACGCUGAAGGAGGAGCUUGCUUCUCCGGAUGAGUUGCGAACGGGUGAGUAACGCGUAGGUAACCUGCCUGGUAGCGGGGGAUAACUAUUGGAAACGAUAGCUAAUACCGCAUAACAGUAGAUGUUGCAUGACAUUUGCUUAAAAGGUGCAAUUGCAUCACUACCAGAUGGACCUGCGUUGUAUUAGCUAGUUGGUGAGGUAACGGCUCACCAAGGCGACGAUACAUAGCCGACCUGAGAGGGUGAUCGGCCACACUGGGACGGAGACACGGCCCAGACUCCUACGGGAGGCAGCAGUAGGGAAUCUUCGGCAAUAGACGGAAGUCUGACCGAGCAACGCCGCGUGAGUGAAGAAGGUUUUCGGAUCGUAAAGCUCUGUUGUAAGAGAAGAACGAGUGUGAGAGUGGAAAGUUCACACUGUGACGGUAUCUUACCAGAAAGGGACGGCUAACUACGUG
rnacentral:rRNA from 1 species